rnacentral:rRNA from 1 species
GAUGAACGCUGGCGGCGUGCCUAAUACAUGCAAGUCGAGCGAACAGACGAGGAGCUUGCUCCUCUGACGUUAGCGGCGGACGGGUGAGUAACACGUGGAUAAUCUACCUAUAAGACUGGGAUAACUUCGGGAAACCGGAGCUAAUACCGGAUAAUAUAUUGAACCGCAUGGUUCAAUAGUGAAAGACGGUUUUGCUGUCACUUAUAGAUGGAUCCGCGCCGCAUUAGCUAGUUGGUAAGGUAACGGCUUACCAAGGCAACGAUGCGUAGCCGACCUGAGAGGGUGAUCGGCCACACUGGAACUGAGACACGGUCCAGACUCCUACGGGAGGCAGCAGUAGUGAAUCUUCCGCAAAGGGCGAAAGCCUGACGGAGCAACGCCGCGUGAGUGAUGAAGGUCUUCGGAUCGUAAAACUCUGUUAUUAGGGAAGAACAAAUGUGUAAGUAACUAUGCACGUCUUGACGGUACCUAAUCAGAAAGCCACGGCUAACUACGUG